UACGUAGGUGGCAAGCGUUGUCCGGAUUUACUGGGCGUAAAGAGCGCGCAGGCGGUCGGAUAAGUCGAAUGUGAAAGCCCCCGGCUCAACUGGGGAGGGUCAUUCGAUACUGUUCGACUCGAAGGCAGGAGAGGGAAGCGGAAUUCCCGGUGUAGUGGUGAAAUGCGUAGAUAUCGGGAGGAACACCAGUGGCGAAGGCGGCUUUCUGGCCUGUUCUUGACGCUGAGGCGCGAAAGCCAGGGGAGCAAACGGG
rnacentral:rRNA from 1 species